AUAAAAUUUCACACCCUAAAUAUGAACUCUGGUCAUGUGUCUGGAAACUUCAGAGCGGCGACAGCUGAGGGAUCUUGUGGGAGAAAAACAUCCAGGCCCCCCCUUGAAGAUGUUGAUUGAGUGGAACAUCACAGCAUCAUAUGGCAGAGAGUUCAACAGUCUCCCUGCUUUUACAGUAAAGAAUCCCCUUCUGUGAUGAUGGUGAAACCUUCUUUUCUCUAGACGUAGAGGAUGCCCCCUUGUCAUGGUUACCAAUCUAGACCAGAACUUUAAGGCAGCCAACGAUUUUGCUUACUGGCAGUAUGACAAUCUGGCACAUCUUCUUGUGGAGAUAAAGGAAAAAUUCAUGAAAAAACUACAGUGAGCCUCAGUAUGUGGGUGUAGU